rnacentral:lncRNA from 1 species
AGCAAACCUAGAUGGUUCUGUUUUUAGUAGGAAGAGAAAUCCAGGAGCUUUUAAUGUCUUAAAGUAAUGCAUUUAUGUCAUUAUUUCCAGCACAUGUCAUUCCUUUUGAUGAGCUGAAGAGUAACAGAUAAGGCUAAAGAUCUUUGCUUUUUCUUCUAUUCUGGGACUUUGAGGGGCUUUCUGUGGAAGCCUUACAGACAGACUAGAGACGUGGUACUUUGGUACACUGCCCAUUUUACAUCCUUCUCACCCCCGCACAGUGUUCAAUUAACUAAAUAUACCCUUGGAGAGCAAGGAAUCUGGUAGGAGCUCAAGAACAAAUUUCCAGUUCAACUGUUUCCAUCCGGAACUUCUUUGUGUGAACGGAGACCAAAGCUUUCACCAAAUCCCCCUGAGUGCAUUUGCAUUGUAGUCCCUGAUAGGACUUUAGCCCUGCCACAGUACCUUAGAGGCUAGGAGCAGGAAGCAUGUUGCCCCAGGUCCACUCAUUGUAGUCCUAUGUUUACUAAAACUACCUGAGGCUGCUGACAUAAUGCCGGACACACUGUAGGUGAUACUUCCAGGAAGUGAGUGGAAACAUUUCUUUACUUACUUGCAGUAGAGACCAGCACUGCCAGAGGGCCCAGGUUGUCCACUGCAAAGCACGAUGAAAAAGAAACAAAGUCUGCAGCAGCCGAGGCUACCCAUCUGUCAUCCUCCACUUCUGAGAAGACUCAAAUGUUUACAGAAACUUAUCACAUACUGUGAGAGAAUGCAUAACUGUAGAAAAGUAGUAAAAAAUUAGACGUACUCAGCUGAGGAGAAACAUCAAGGGAUUGAUCUUGGAUGAGUGUUGUAUGUUGUAGAUGCAUAAGAGAUGCAUUAGCUCCAUCCCAUUUAAAAUGGGCUUAAUAAAUCUCCACUGAAGUGCAUUUUGAGAGUUUUCAUUUUGGAAGGGAAGAGAGUGCUUAGUU